rnacentral:lncRNA from 1 species
UUGGAACGAAACUUGAAGGGCUUUAGGAUGUAGCGCCCCGGGGCCGACAGUAUGCAGGUCGAGUAAGUCUACCUUCACACAACACACAUGUUGAAAACGUGCUGAUCAUGUGACAAGACGGUCUUUUUUUUUAGCAGAGUACAAUCGAAGUCGUUCACAUACACUCACCUCUAUGAACGCACGCACGCACAUCCAACCCCUAUGAGCAUCUUCGAGAGACUAAGCCGGCACAUCAUUUUGAGAUUGACGAAAUCGUCACUGACGCCUUCGUUGUCGACGGGAACCUGAAAUAAAUCCAGGAAAAUGCAAGCACCAACGUCAAGUCUGGGACUUGAACUCUGGUGGACAGGGGAUACCACAGUCCUCCUAACCAUCCAACCACGG